GCGAGCGUUGUCCGGAAUUACUGGGCGUAAAGAGCUCGUAGGUGGUUUGUCGCGUUGUUCGUGAAAUCUCACGGCUUAACUGUGAGCGUGCGGGCGAUACGGGCAGACUUGAGUACUGCAGGGGAGACUGGAAUUCCUGGUGUAGCGGUGGAAUGCGCAGAUAUCAGGAGGAACACCGGUGGCGAAGGCGGGUCUCUGGGCAGUAACUGACGCUGAGGAGCGAAAGCGUGGGGAGCGAACAGGAUUAGAUACCCUGGUAGUCCACGCCGUAAACGGUGGGUACUAGGUGUGGGUUUCCUUCCUUGGGAUCCGUGCCGUAGCUAACGCAUUAAGUACCCCGCCUGGGGAGUACGGCCGCAAGGCUAAAACUCAAAGAAAUUGACGGGGGCCCGCACAAGCGGCGGAGCAUGUGGAUUAAUUCGAUGCAACGCGAAGAACCUUACCUGGGUUUGACAUGCACAGGACGCCGGCAGAGAUGUCGGUUCCCUUGUGGCCUGUGUGCAGGUGGUGCAUGGCUGUCGUCAGCUCGUGUCGUGAGAUGUUGGGUUAAGUCCCGCAACGAGCGCAACCCUUGUCAUUAAUUGCCAUCAUUCAGUUGGGCACUUUGAUGAGACUGCCGGUGACAAACCGGAGGAAGGUGGGGAUGACGUCAAGUCCUCAUGGCCCUUAUGGGUAGGGCUUCACACGUCAUACAAUGGUCGGUACAGAGGGUUGCCAACCCGCGAGGGGGAGCCAAUCCCACAAAGCCGAUCGUAGUCCGGAUCGCAGUCUGCAACUCGACUGCGUGAAGUCGGAAUCGCUAGUAAU
rnacentral:rRNA from 1 species